GACGAACGCUGGCGGCGUGCUUAAUACAUGCAAGUCGACUGAACUUAAGGUAGCAAUAUUUUAAGGGAGGUGGCGCACGGGUGAGUAACACGUAGGUAAUCUGCCUUUAGGACUGACAUAACCCAGAGAAAUCUGGGCUAAUAUCAGAUGAUGCAGCGGCUCGACAUCGAGACAGUUGUUAAACCUUCGGGGCCUAGAGAUGAGCCUGCGUCUGAUUAGGUAGUUGGCGGGGUAAUGGCCCACCAAGCCAUCGAUCAGUAGCUGGUCUGAGAGGAUGAUCAGCCACACUGGAACUGAGACACGGUCCAGACUCCUACGGGAGGCAGCAGUAAGGAAUAUUGCUCAAUGGCCGAAAGGCUGAAGCAGCAACGCCGCGUGGAGGAUGAAAUACUUUUGUAUGUAAACUCCUGUGAGAAGGGAAAAUAUGCAGAUUUUCUGCGUUGAUUGUACCUUCAGAGGAAGCCCCGGCUAA
rnacentral:rRNA from 1 species